CGUCAAGUCCUCAUGGCCUUUAUGUCCAGGGCUACACACGUGCUACAAUGGGCGGUACAAAGGGCAGCGAUAUUGUAAGAUUGAGCCAAUCCCAAAAAGCCGUUCUCAGUUCGGAUUGAAGUCUGCAACUCGACUUCAUGAAGUUGGAAUCGCUAGUAAUCGCAGAUCAGCAUGCUGCGGUGAAUACGUUCCCGGGCCUU
rnacentral:rRNA from 1 species